CCUACGGGUGGCUGCAGUUAGGAAUUUUGGGCAAUGGCCGCAAGGCUGACCCAGCAACGCCGCGUGGGGGACGAAGGCUUUCGGGUUGUAAACCCCUUUUCUCGGGGACGAUGAUGACGGUACCCGAGGAAUCAGCCCCGGCUAACUACGUGCCAGCAGCCGCGGUAAUACGUAGGGGGCGAGCGUUGUCCGGAUUUAUUGGGCGUAAAGCGCGCGUAGGCGGUGCCGUAAGUCGGCCGUGAAAUCUCCAGGCUCAACUUGGAGGGGUCGGGCGA
rnacentral:rRNA from 1 species